AGACCACCACGGUCAAGAUAGAAUUGACCCCUCUGAAUUGGUAGGAGAUAUGCAUCAGUGUAUUUCAAUUUAGCAAAAUCUUGGCCAGGAUAAUCUAUGAGAUGGAUUUAAAAGGUUAAAAUAUAAUGUGGUUGACUUAAUUAGGGUUGAUAGUUAAACCCUAAGUCACCUUGAGCAUUUGGAUCAAAGGGAUGAAUUAUAUGGUAACUAUACGCCAGUAGGUUCUAAAAGGUUGCUUUGUAACACUUCGACCCAUCCAGUCGUCGGGUCAUCAUUGCUAGAUGGUUACAUUGAUUGGUAUAAAAAGUUAUUUAUAUAUUAUUGAUUUUGGUUGGAAUCUAUGGGGUAACACGCAUUAGAAGAUUUGGUCAGAUCUGAUGGCCGAAGAGUCCAAUUGGAUUGUGACUCUAGUGAAGAGUCCUACUUGGACUAGGACUCUGUGGGAGAGUCCCACUGAGAUAGGGACUCUACUAUAUAUGAAAAAUUAAUUAGAAAUUAGAUUACUAAUUGACUCAAUUUGAUUGAAUAAAUAACUAUGGAACAAGUCUAAUUGAAUUAGAUUCAGUUCGACUCAGAUUGGGA
rnacentral:lncRNA from 1 species